rfam:Haemonchus contortus, ISE/inbred ISE, WGS project CAVP01000000 data, contig: Hcontortus_27856
GGCCCAAAUUUGAAGUAGAGUAGAUUAGAAAGAUCAUCUGUCUCUACUCAAUUACUCUUCUUCGAGUUUGUGCCC